CAGCCGUAAACUAUGCGCGUUAGGUGUAUCGGUGACCACGAGUUACCGAGGUGCCGAAGGGAAACCGUGAAACGUGCCGCCUGGGAAGUACGGUCGCAAGGCUGAAACUUAAAGGAAUUGGCGGGGGAGGCACCACAACAGGUGGAGCCUGCGGUUUAAUUUGGACUCAACGCCGGGAAGCUCACCGGAUAGGACAGCAGAAUGAUUGCCGGGCUGAAGACCCUGCAUGACUAGCUGAGAGGAGGUGCAUGGCGUAGACGUCU
rnacentral:rRNA from 1 species